GCCAGCGUGGUAUAGUGGUUCGAGUGUUGAAUUACGACUCUGGAGGAUAGGGUUCAAUUCCCUGCUCAGCCA